rnacentral:rRNA from 1 species
AGCGAACGCUGGCGGCAGGCCUAACACAUGCAAGUCGAACGGACCCUUCGGGGUUAGUGGCGGACGGGUGAGUAGCACGUGGGAACGUGCCUUUAGGUUCGGAAUAGCUCCUGGAAACGGGUGGUAAUGCCGAAUGUGCCCUUCGGGGGAAAGAUUUAUCGCCUUUAGAGCGGCCCGCGUCUGAUUAGCUAGUUGGUGGGGUAAUGGCCCACCAAGGCUACGAUCAGUAGCUGGUCUGAGAGGAUGACCAGCCACAUUGGGACUGAGACACGGCCCAAACUCCGACGGGAGGCAGCAGUGGGGAAUCUUGCGCAAUGGGCGAAAGCCUGACGCAGCCAUGCCGCGUGUAUGAUGAAGGUCUUAGGAUUGUAAAAUACUUUCACCGGUGAAGAUAAUGACUGUAGCCGGAGAAGAAGCCCCGGCUAACUUCGUGCCAGCCGCCGCCGUAAGAC